AUUGAACGCUGGCGGCAAGCCUAACACAUGCAAGUCGAGCGGAUGAAGGGAGCUUGCUCCUGGAUUCAGCGGCGGACGGGUGAGUAAUGCCUAGGAAUCUGCCUGGUAGUGGGGGAUAACGUCCGGAAACGGGCGCUAAUACCGCAUACGUCCUGAGGGAGAAAGUGGGGGAUCUUCGGACCUCACGCUAUCAGAUGAGCCUAGGUCGGAUUAGCUAGUUGGUGGGGUAAAGGCCUACCAAGGCGACGACCCGUAACUGGUCUGAGAGGAUGAUCAGUCACACUGGAACUGAGACACGGUCCAGACUCCUACGGGAGGCAGCAGUGGGGAAUAUUGGACAAUGGGCGAAAGCCUGAUCCAGCCAUGCCGCGUGUGUGAAGAAGGUCUUCGGAUUGUAAAGCACUUUAAGUUGGGAGGAAGGGCAGUAAGUUAAUACCUUGCUGUUUUGACGUUACCAACAGAAUAAGCACCGGCUAACUUCGUG
rnacentral:rRNA from 1 species